UACGUAGGGUGCGAGCGUUGUCCGGAAUUAUUGGGCGUAAAGAGCUCGUAGGCGGUUUGUCGCGUCGGCCGUGAAAUCUCCACGCUUAACGUGGAGCGUGCGGUCGAUACGGGCAGACUUGAGUUCGGCAGGGGAGACUGGAAUUCCUGGUGUAGCGGUGAAAUGCGCAGAUAUCAGGAGGAACACCAAUAGCGAAGGCCGCUCGCUGGGACGUUACUGACACUGAGGCGCGAAAGCGUGGGGAGCGAACAGG
rnacentral:rRNA from 1 species